rfam:Salmo salar isolate Sally breed double haploid chromosome ssa02, whole genome shotgun sequence.
UGGCUCAGUUGGUAGAGGAUGGUGUUUGCAACGCCAGGGUUGUGGGUUCGAUUCCCAC